GGUGCUUCAGUUGUAACCUGCUUUAGGGCUCCUGAUCUCUAAGCUCUGUAUGAUAGAGAUCAAGAGCAAAGCAAUAGUAUUGUCAGCUCAGGGCUGAGAAACUAAAAACCAAAACCCAGAGAUGGCGCUAAAACCAAUCAGAGCUCCUGACUGCAAACCAGAGUAGCUGACUAAUGACAUGGCAGAUAAAGAAUUGACUGCAAGGUAUGUGGAGUAGCUCCCAGAAUUGAUGGGAAAGUUAGAAAACCAGCUUUGGAAGGUGGGAGGAUCUGGUGUGCUUAUCAUCCCACUGCAAGAUCAGGCAGCAGGAAAAGCAGGUUAGGGUCCCUCUGGCACCACCACAGGUCACUGAUUGCCACCUCUGGUACUCCUGCCACAGGCCAUAAAGCACCACUCUGUGUUAGAGUCCUUCCCUUCCCUGAAUGAGAACUGGGUUUUCAUGGUCUCCAGUGUCACUAAGCCAGAGGGCUAGUCCUCAAGUCACAUCUCCAGGGGCAGCACUCGGCUUGUUGAGUCUUGGUGUUGUAGCUAACUAUGCUCUAACUCCAGGCAGGGACAAAUGAGCAAGGGACACUUGCUUCAAGACUCAUGCGGAUGGUGGUUCCGAUAUCUGAGAAGGAGAGUCCGGUGCUGGAUCGCCAAACACGGGGGCCACCUGGAGAAGAGAGCUGGGGUGCCCCUGGGUGCUCAGGGGGCGUUACUGCCCUUUCUGGGCUCACGGUGAAGCAUCUGAGGGCUGCGUCUUGCCUGCCUUUCAGCUCUUGGGGACCCAUGCCAUGCAGGGCUGUUUUAAUGUGCUAAGGAGGUGACUCCUUGGGCAAAUUGGACAUCUUAACACAUUUCAAUCUACUCAAAGAAAAAAAAAAACCAAAAACCCUGCAACAUUAAGAGAAAAAGAAGAGACAGUGGUAGGCUGCGCCACGCACCGUGGUGUUCUUCUGAGAGUGCGACUGUGAGGGAACUUCAGCCUCUGCUCCUGCUUCUGCCCUUGCCUGGGGUCCUCGCCGGGUGGCCACACCGCCUGCGGACAUUCUUUCAGUCCAGUCCUUCUCCCCAGUGUCAGUCCCUCACGGCGAAUCCCAAACAGCAUCUCCUUGUAUUCUGCUCCUCUGAUCUGCUUUACUCAUGCCACUGCCACCGCCUCCCAUAUUUACUUGUUCAUGUCCUGUCUGUCUCCCCUCUGUCCUGAAAGUCCCCUGGAAACCAGGCCUUUGGCUCAACCCUGGUAGCCACAGUCCCUAACCCAGUGGUAUUCAAAAAAUGUUUACUAUAGGAAAGAAUGAGUCAAGGGUUAGGCCAAGAGAG
rnacentral:lncRNA from 1 species